rnacentral:rRNA from 1 species
GAUGAACGCUAGCGGCAGGCCUAACACAUGCAAGUCGAGGGAGAAGCCCUUCGGGGCAGAAACCGGCGCACGGGUGCGUAACGCGUAUGCAACCUACCUUUCACAGGGGGAUAGCCCGAAGAAAUUUGGAUUAAUACCCCAUAAUAUUAUUGAAUGGCAUCAUUUGAUAAUUAAAAUUACGAUGGUGAAAGAUGGGCAUGCGUCCUAUUAGCUAGUUGGAGUGGUAACGGCACCCCAAGGCUACGAUAGGUAGGGGUCCUGAGAGGGAGAUCCCCCACACUGGUACUGAGACAGGGACCAGACUCCUACGGGAGGCAGCAGUGAGGAAUAUUGGUCAAUGGUCGGAAGACUGAACCAGCCAUGCCGCGUGCAGGAAGAAAUGCCCUUAUGGGUUGUAAACUG